rnacentral:rRNA from 1 species
AGAGUUUGAUCAUGGCUCAGGACGAACGCUGGCGGCGUGCCUAACACAUGCAAGUCGAGCGGUCUCGCCUAUAGCAAAAGGCCUUUCGGGCUUCGAGCAAAGGCGAGAUAGCGGCGGACGGGUGAGUAACGCGUGGCUUAUCUGUCCCAGGGAGGGGGAUAACGUCUGGAAACGGGCGCUAAUACCCCAUAUGCCGGUGAGGUAAAAAGGAGAAAUCCGCCCUGGGGUGAGGCCGCGUCCUAUCAGCUAGUUGGUGAGGUAACGGCCCACCAAGGCUAUGACGGGUAGCCGGCCUGAGAGGGCGGCUGGCCACACUGGGAUUGAGAUACGGCCCAGACUCCUACGGGAGGCAGCAGUGGGGAAUAUUGGGCAAUGGGGGAAACCCUGACCCAGCGACGCCGCGUGGAGGAAGGAGCCCUUCGGGGUGUAAACUCCUGUUGUAAGGGAAGAAGACAGUGACGGUACCUUACGAGGAAGCCCCGGCAAACUACGUGCCAGCAGCCGCGGUAACACGUAGGGGGCGAGCGUUGUCCGGAAUCACUGGGCGUAAAGCGCACGCAGGCGGAUGCGCGCGUCGGCUGUGAAAUGCACCGGCUCAACCGGUGCACUGCGGUCGAUACGGCGCGUCUGGAGUGCGGGAGAGGGAAGCGGAAUUCCCGGUGUAGCGGUGAAAUGCGUAGAUAUCGGGAGGAACGCCGGUGGCGAAGGCGGCUUCCUGGCCCGCAACUGACGCUCAUGUGCGAAAGCCAGGGGAGCGAACCGGAUUAGAUACCCGGGUAGUCCUGGCCGUAAACGAUGGACGCUAGGUGUGGGCGGUUUAUCCGUCUGUGCCGAAGUUAACGCGUUAAGCGUCCCGCCUGGGGAGUACGAUCGCAAGGUUGAAACUCAAAUGAAUUGACGG